rnacentral:rRNA from 1 species
ACGAAGGGUGCAAGCGUUGUUCGGAAUCACUGGGCUUAAAGCGCACGUAGGCGGAAAAGAAAGUGUCUUGUGAAAUCCCCCGACUCAACCGGGGAACUGCUCGGCAAACUUCUUUUCUUGAGACAAGUAGGGGUACAUGGAACUCUAGGUGGAGCGGUGAAAUGCGUAGAUAUCUAGAGGAACGCCAGCGGAGAAAUCGGUGUACUGGGCUUGUACUGACGCUGAGGUGCGAAAGCGUGGGUAGCGAACGG